rnacentral:lncRNA from 1 species
CUACUUAAAGGAUUACUAAUUUUGAUAACAAAAUUAGCUUUAUGUAAAUGUUUUCAAACCAUUCUUUUUAACAAAGUAUUUUAUAAAUGCUUUUUAAUAUGUAAAUGAUUUUAUGACAUGACAACCUUUUAUGAUGUUAUCUUUAAAAUGUUAUGCAAGCCUAUAUUAUUGAUAUGAACUUUUAUAAAUCUGAUACGAAUGUUUUGUACCCAUAUAUGAUUUCAAUUACUGAUAAUUGUAUGAGAUUCCUAAUGUUUUGGCUCAUUGUCCAUAGUUAUUCUGAUUCUGAUUCUGAUCGUAAUAUACGAUAUAUCUGUCUGGACCAGUACUGGGUUUCUGUUCUGAAUGUGCACACGAUAUUCUGAUUCUGUUUCUGGCCGGGUCACCGGGACUAUAGGUGACACUAUGUGACAUGAGCUAACCUGUUUGUUUUCUGUAUACGUAUUACAUGAGUUGAUUCGUAAGUAAAUAUGCUUUUGAAUAUUCUGAAUUAUUAAGAAUUUAUCUUAUGUUAUUGUGAUAUAUCGUUUUAUGAAAAUUAUGGAUUAUGAUAUAUGCUUUAAACAAAAGAAGGCUUGCAAUAUUUUUGGUAUCGAUAGGCCUAGUGUGUUAGGAAUGGUUUUACUUACCGAGUUGACGGCUCACCCCUCGUCAUUACUUUUUUGCAGAUUAAGUUUCUUUUGAGAGGUGCACUUAGCUUUGGAGUUAAUGAUUUCCAGUUUCCGUUUGCUUUUGAAUAAGAAUUGGAGGAAUUUCAGUUUGAAACUUAUGAGUAAAGAUUAUGAUUUGUGAGUAACCUCCUUCUUCACGUGCUCCGCACGUGUUAGAUUUGGGGUGUUACAAUUGUGGUAUCAGAGCAACUAGGUUAGGAUUCUGUAGACUUUCUUUUACCGUUUAAUUAGAUUGUCUAAUUAAAUCGAUUACAUUUGUUUUGUAGACAUGAAGAAGGACAAUAUGGGUAUGAAAAGUGUCAAGAAUAAGGGAUGGACAAAUUUUCUUAGUUACAAUACUUAUUCAGUACUCUGCG